AAAAAAAGAGAGGGGAAACAGAGAGAGAGAGAGAUACACAGAUCUAUGUGUGUAUACAGAGAUCUGUGUACACACAUAAAGGAAGGUCGCAAUAGGCGACGGUGACAGUGAUGACGACACCGGUGGGUGGAGAGAGUUCUGGCGCUCUCUUCCCCUUUCCUCUUCUCUUUCUUCUCUCUUUCUCCCUCUUUUUUUUCUCACAUCUCUUGAGAAAAAAAAAAAAAAAUCGAAACCGAAACCGAAACGGCGUCGCUUUGAUAUUCGGGCACACGAGGCUCCAAAAUUCCGAAGCUUUUUUCCUCUUAGUAAUAAUCAUUUUAGUUGCAUUUACAUAUCAAAUCAUGCGAAUUUCUGAUUAGAAAGAAAUAAUAAUAAUCUCAUGCAAGUAGGGAAUGUAGGCAUGGAAUGGGCAAAGGUUCAUCAAGAGUGUGCAAUGUUUGACACAGCUACUUACUUGGGACGGAAAUUUUCACUUCAUAUUUCAUUUUCUUAAAUUUCUCAACCUCCCCCCACUUAAAUCUGUCAACCCAGUCCCAAAAUCAGCAAAUUUCUCGUUUAUUGUCAAUCAAAAAGAAAAAAAAGAAAUUUAUUGGAUUACCGUUGGUCACUGCAUAUGCUGAAAAUCGAAGAAGCCCGUAAAUUGUUCGAUGAAAUGCCAGAACGAAGUGUUGCGCAUCUUGAGAUGCGGAAUUUGCGAAGCCAGUGAAUGAUUUUGGCAAAUGCCUAGGGGAAUUUUUCGUUGGUUUCUGGGUACUUGAAGACGUGUGAUUUAAAAGAAACCAUUCGGGAUUUUGAAGGUAUGGUGGAGAAAGAUGUUUCUUGGAGCUCAAUGGUUAAUGGGUAGGGAUGCUAGAGACCUGUUUGAUAGGAUGUCUGAGAGAAAUGUGAUUGAUUGUGCUGCAGUGAUAAAUGGGUGUUUCAAUAUGCAGAAUUUCAAAGAUGGGUUUGAAUUUUUAUUAGAAAUGAGACUGGAAGAUGAGUGUAAAAAUUAAUUCUACUACACUGAUCAUAAUACAAGUCAUCUUUGUACUGGGUGUUGUUGAAUUUCUCUUUUGAACUAAUGGGAGACUGCUUGGGCUGAUCAUGAGUUUUGGCUUAGACCAGAGUUUCUUUGAGGCUGUGAUUUCUAUAAAUUUAUACUCUGGACCAGGGGAGUGAAAUGAAAAAUUAAUGGAAAGGUUGCAAUACUUUCAGAUGGACGAUGGCUCAGUAGUUGGCAGUAUCAAAGGACUCAAAGAUUUCUGUCCUUCACUCUUCUUACUCUCCAGGAAGUAGUAGCAGGCUAGAAGCUUAUUCAUGUUUUGAUGAACUUGGUCUUCAAAGAAUUCCUUGGAGGCUUUUUGUCUCUGAUCUUUCUUGAAUGGAAAAUUUAGGUGGGUGAAAUGUUGAAAGGGAUGGAAAUGGGAUGAAGGACAAUAGACCAUAAGCUGUGGGAGGAUGAUUUGAUGCAUGUCUGGUCAAAUCCCAUUCCAAAUGUUCUUGUCUUCACACUUCGAGUAAACCUACUACUGAAAACAACACUCGUGCCAAGUGUUUUGACAUCUUAUUUGACAUGUUCUCUUUCUCCUACAGUCAGCUCUGGUGUUAGCAAUAUUCAACAACUGCCUCGACUAUAUCAUAAUUAUUGUCAAUCACAGCCGGACAAGAUCUUGUGGUCCCUUGAACUCUGUGUGUUUUGUAGCACUUAGCUUCUGCAGUCAGCAAUAUUCAACAACUGCCUCGACUACAAUCUCUGUAUUGUCACGCUCAGUUUCCUCAGCCCACCAACACGGUAAGACUAGACGUAGAUGAAGACUUGCUCAAAGCUAAUUGGAUGUAGUUGAGCAGAAAAGAUCAGGAAAUGAGGCAUUUUUUUGAGUGUGAUAGGGCCGGGCCUUACAUUGUUUUGAGUGUGAUAAGUAGCUUAUCCAUUCAGAUAAGAUACUUAGAAAAUAAAAUCAUUUGUUUUUUCUUUUCUCAGUUUUUAUACCAAACAGACUAAUGAAAUAAAUUUGGCAAGCUUCUCAUAAUUUUUUUUCUGACGUGUCCUGAAAUUAGUAUGAUUGUAACGUUGUGUUUGUUUCGAUGGAAAACGCUUUUGGAGUAUUUUGAGAAACGAUUAAAAUUAAUUUUUUUUGUUUUUUUUUAAAAAAAAAUAUGUAAAAAUUGUGAGAGAUUGUGUGAUUUAAAA